CGGCGCUCUGACGCCGCCCCCGCCCCACAGCCUCCCUCCCCGGGAGGGGCGCAGACCCGAUCGCCCCCAGUCCCGAGCCUCCGCCGCCGCGAGGGGGCCGCCUUUGGAUCCGUGUAAUCCGCCUCUUUUUUUCUAUUUUCUUUUUUUUUUUUUUUUUUUUUUUCUAAUUUUUGGUUGGUGGCGGCGGUGCUGGGCCAGGGGAAGGAAGGGACACGGAGGCCGCCCUCGCCCCGCCACCUCCUACCAGCUUCCCCCCAGCCCCGGCUCCGGGAGAUGUGCCGGGCGGGGGGCCCGGGUUCGCCGAGCCGCAGGAGAGACACGCUGGGCCGACCCCAGAGCGGCGCUGGACAGAGCCAACACAGAUCUAUAGAUUUCUUUGAACUCGGAAUCUCAUAGCACCAAUAUUUUUGCACAGAACUCUUACUUACAUGUCUCAUCGAAACUCCAGAACAAACAUCAAAAGCUUGUCAGCUCAUUUGCAGCUUACAUUUUUGGUUUCUUCCACAAAAAUGAUAAGCCAUCACCAAACUCAGAAAAUGAACAAAAUUCUGUUACCCUGGAAGUCCUGCUUGUGAAAGUUUGCCACAAAAAAAGAAAGGAUGUAUGUUGUCCAAUAAGGCAAGUUCCCACAGGUAAAAAGCAGGUGCCUUUGAAUCCUGACCUCAAUCAAACAAAACCUGGAAAUUUCCCGUCCCUUGCAGUUUCCAGUAAUGAAUUUGAACCUAGUAACAGCCACAUGGUGAAGUCUUACUCGUUGCUAUUUAGAGUGACUCGUCCAAGAAGAAGAGAGUUUAAUGGAAUGAUUAAUGGAGAAACCAUGAAAAUAUUGAUGUCAGUGAAGAGCUUCCAGCCAGAAGAAAAUGAAAUCGUGAGGAUGGGGAAAAGACAUUUGUUGCACAAAUGACAGUAUUUGAUAAAAACAGGCGCUUACAGCUUUUAGAUGGGGAAUAUGAAGUAGCCAUGCAGGAAAUGGAAGAAUGUCCAAUAAGCAAGAAAAGAGCAACAUGGGAGACUAUUCUUGAUGGGAAG
rnacentral:lncRNA from 10 species